GCUCCUGGCUUUCUCUGGAUGAAGAUGUAGAACUCUCAGCUCCUCCUGGGAGCUACCAUGCUCUCUCCUUGAUGAGAUAAUGGACUGACCCUCUGAAACGGGCCCUGAUAACUGUAUGUUUUAUAUGAUAAGCGACAAAAGCCCCUGGAAGCCUGGGUUCCUGAGUGACAAGUUGGAACAGCACCCUCUUGGAUCCAUAUUGUAUUUAUGAGGAGCUCAACGUGGAGUAUUGAGAUGCUGAUAUUUUGUUAAUGUGCUGCUAUAACCUGGCUUCCAAUUCCAAAUUAAUUCACAACCACUUAGUGUUACAAUAAGGAUCCUUUGGCUUGACAGUGUGUGGUAGAACCUUAUAACACCUGGUAUAUAGUGAGUGCUGUAUGAGAGUUUGGGAAACUAAAUACAACAAUACAGGGUAGGCAAUGGUCAUAGUAGUAACUCAACCAGCAUGGUUUAGAUCAGAAAGAGACUUAACACUACUUAAGGAAAUUCAGGUGGUUUUUUUUUUUUAAUUGUGUGUAUGAGUGUUUUUCCUAUAGGUAUGUAAGUGCAUUACAUGUGUGCCUGGUACCCAUAAAGACCAGAAGAGAACAUGGAAUGCCCUGGAACUAGAGUCAUUCAUAAGAGUAGCCAGUUCUCUUAACCAUUGAGUCACCCACCUCUCCAGCACAGAAACUCAGUUUUUAAAAUUGAAAUGUAAAAGCC
rnacentral:lncRNA from 1 species